rnacentral:rRNA from 1 species
UACGAAGGGGGCUAGCGUUGUUCGGAAUCACUGGGCGUAAAGCGCACGUAGGCGGAUUGUUAAGUCGGGGGUGAAAUCCUGAGGCUCAACCUCAGAACUGCCUUCGAUACUGGCGAUCUUGAGUUCGGAAGAGGUUGGUGGAACAGCUAGUGUAGAGGUGAAAUUCGUAGAUAUUAGCUAGAACACCAGUGGCGAAGGCGGCCAACUGGUCCGACACUGACGCUGAGGUGCGAAAGCGUGGGGAGCAAACAGG